ensembl:Y_RNA Y_RNA Y RNA
GGCUGGUCCGAAAGUAGUGGGUUACCACAGAAAUUAUUACAGUUAGUUUCACUAACCUUUCUAAGUUCCACCCCACUGCUAACCUUGACUGGUCUCCU